GCCGGCAUUUGGUCCGCAAUUUUACUAUGACCCGUAUUGCUGCUAGAUUUUUUACGGGUUCGAUUCCCGUCGCCGGCUCCA
rnacentral:tRNA from 1 species